rnacentral:lncRNA from 10 species
UGCCUGUAAGCUCUAUUGGGUAGUAUAGUGCAGCUUUGUGAACACCAGAUCUGGCAGAUUUAAGCUGAGGCCUGUAAGUUCAUUUGCCAUUUUCUUCCACCACAAGUGGCCCCUGCUGGGCUGAUCUGUUCUUCCACUUGUUCCUCUGGCACCUGCCCAUGUGGAGGGGAUUCUUCAAUAGGGCACAUCUGUUGUAGCCUCACAGAUUCUUCUGCUGUUGGAGAGCCCUGUGUGUGGAAGAGUCCCUUUGUGUGAAAAUCAUCCAGCCUCAACCACACAGUUCAGCAAUUUUGCUGAAAGGAACAGUCUUGGCUGCACUUGGUAGGAGCCUCUCUUCUGUCUGGCACAGGCCAAGACUCUGCAGGUGAUGAAGGAAGAGGAGGUGGCAGCGCAUAGGAGUGCAUUAAUAUCAGUUCACCUUGUCAGUAUAGCUACAGUGGCUAGACCAUGAGCUCUGGAGUUGGACAGCCUAGAUCAACAUCCUGGAUCCUCUUCCUACCUGUGUGUCCUUGGAAACAUUUCUCAAGUGUCUACAUGUUCUAGAAGGGGAAUUUUUCGGAGGUGGCCACUUCUUCGGAAUAGUCCGAUGCCAUCAGGCGUCUGAAGCAAGGGGAAGGGGAAAAGAAAAAAGCUGAAACACAAGGUUCAUCUGAUGCAAAGGGAUGUAUCAACAUAAUUCCACAACUAAUAGAAACUUGUAAGCAAGGAAGCUUCAAGAUGUAAAAGUAUUUAUCAACAUAAUUCCACAACUAAUAGAAACUUGCAAGCAAGGAAGCUUCAAGAUGUAAAAGGAUUUAUCAACAUAAUUCCACAACUAAUAGAAACUUGCAAGCAAGGAAGCUUCAAGAUGCCAAAGGAGUGAGGCAUUGAAUAUUCAACACAAGCAGUCACAGCCAAAAUAUCUUCCAUAGCUGUACAACUUCAUAUUCCCAUUAACCAUACAACCCAUUUUCGACCUUGACCCAAUGCUGCCCUGUUUUCUUUUGAUUCUGUAGUUCUGACCUGGCGGUCACAGCAGAACAUUUUUCCACUGCCAACCUGAGACACUGUGUGCUAGUAGAUACAAUGUAAUAACAAACAGUUUGGUCAUUUAAGUAAAGGCAUGAAGAAAAUUGGCUGCUUUUUUAUAAAUUAUAAAAGCAAAACUAAUUGGCUGACUCAGCAAACAAGAGCAGUUCAUGUUGCCAUAGUGUCAAAAAGGAUCAAAGUGGGGACUGGAAAAGUUCUCAAUGUUUAUUUGCUCAUUUUGUUAAGUUCUGUAAAUAAUAAUUCCCUUUAUUGUAGGGAUGAACAGGAUCACAAAAGUCCUCGGCUCUCCUCGAUGGGCAUUCUGAAGAGUCAAAAGCUGCUGAGCUAGCCACCUUCCCUCUUCCAGGUCUAUCAUUAGUGCCAGUCAUGGAAGUCAGCUUGGAUUUGGGAUGGGGAAACCAAGAAACUGAGAAUCAAAGAGGUUAAAUGACUUAAGAAAGAUUUCACCUCUAGUUAGAGGCAGAGACAAAUCUAGAAUUUUUCCUGAUUCUGAGUGCAAUGCACUUUCCUGACCUUCACUCAACCUGAGUUUGAUCUUACAGAGGAAGUCUUUGAAGACCUGCUGGGACAAUUGUUUGUUUCCCACAGAAUUCUGCGGCUAGCUCUAUUUCCUUAAUCCUGAAAUUCCAGCUCAGUACUUAUUUUCCAAACCUGUCACCAUUAACUUGAUUUUCUUCCUUUCCUCUUCCUUGCUCCCCAUCAUAUGUAAACUCUGAUUUAUAUCUGACCAGGAAACACACUCAAAAUAUAUUUCUCAAGUGUUUACCCAAUGGUGCCCCAGGCAAUACCAAUAAUGAUGAGCUAAACAAUCAUAUAUUAUUGUCUGUGAAUAUUUACUUUGUGACAGAGUCCUAAUCCUCUCCCAAAUGGUUAGCAAAUUCACUGAAAUUAUUUACUGGAAGAAUUCUAAUUUUUCAAAUAAUUCUUCUUUAUCUAAGUCCCACAAUUAUCUUCUCUUAUCCAGCUUCCCCCAAGCCCCACUUCAGACCUUACUUACUGAAUUUUUUCUAGCUCUUUAACCUCUCUGUAGUACUUCAUCCCUUAAUGCUUUUGUUCUUACUGAUUAUUUUCUCCUAAAAUAUAUCCAUCAUCCUAUUUGUUUAUACAUUUAUUAUAGAAUGCAUUUUCUAAACACUUGUGUUAGGAAUGAGGCUAGGUGCUGGUGUGGUCAUCAGCAAAGUACACAGUCCAUGAACUCAUAGCAGGUAGGAUACAGACAAAUGAAAUGGCAAUUAUAAAAGCACAUGAAAUAAGUGCAACAAUUAGAUAAGUGUAGAUACGUUGUUGGGAGAAACACCUAAGACGGCCUUUGUGGAGGGAAUCUGUUUGUGUGUGAAAUCAUGGCUUGUCCAUCAUUGUAUUGGCUGGGAUUGAUGAGCAAAUGAUAUGUAAUACACACUCAAUAAAUGUUGGUAGAACUAAUAAGAAUGAUCUGUGGUGAAAUGACUCCUGAGACAGUGACUAUGUUCUCUUUACUUCCAGGUCACUUUGCAUCGUAAACACUUAAUGUCUCUCUAGAUAGAAUUAAUCAGAGAGUGGUAGAAACUAUUAACACCUGGAUACUUCAGUUUUAUAAACUAAAAGCUUUUGAGUUAUUUUACCCAUUGAAUGAUCUUUAUUGCCUGCUCAGACUGAGUAAAUUCAAGCACCUGAAGGAUAAAUGAAAGUUUAUCCUUUAGAUAUAACAGGUUUGCAUCCUGGCUCUGCCAUUUAUGAGUAUUGACUUGAGGUUCAUUAAUUAAGCCCUCUAAGCCCUAGCUGUUAAACGGGCAUAAUCAGGAUACGUUGAAGGAAUUAAAAGUAAUAACAUGCAAAGGAACUGAAACAGUGACUGCUACACAGUAAACACUCAAUAAAUGUUAAUCCUCUUUGCAUCCUCCUCUAAACCUUUGAUAAUAUAUAUUUAGCAUAAUAUUUUGGAAUAUCUGAAAGUAAAUGAAAUUAUGCACAAGUAAUUGAAUUUCUAUUCAUAUUUUUGCAUAGUAGUUACUAUCUGGAUACUAGGCUGAAAAGAAUAAAAAAUUGGAACUCUUUAAGUAAAUGCGCUUUUCUGUCUCUUAUAUACAUCCAGUUGGCUAUUGAAACAACAUGGGAGAAAGGCAGGCAGAAGCAAGAUACCCCAUCCACUUACCUUAUUUUUUCUCUACAUGAAAUAAAUGAUUUAUAUUGAGUUUCUGGAUUUUUAAAGUUACCUUUUUUUGUUUUUUUCCUGGAGUCUCACUCUGUUGCCC